UGGGGAAUUUUGGACAAUGGGGGAAACCCUGAUCCAGCCAUCCCGCGUGUGCGAUGAAGGCCUUCGGGUUGUAAAGCACUUUUGGCAGGAAAGAAACGUCGCGGGUUAAUACCCCGCGAAACUGACGGUACCUGCAGAAUAAGCACCGGCUAACUACGUGCCAGCAGCCGCGGUAAUACGUAGGGUGCAAGCGUUAAUCGGAAUUACUGGGCGUAAAGCGUGCGCAGGCGGUUCGGAAAGAAAGAUGUGAAAUCCCAGAGCUUAACUUUGGAACUGCAUUUUUAACUACCGGGCUAGAGUGUGUCAGAGGGAGGUGGAAUUCCGCGUGUAGCAGUGAAAUGCGUAGAUAUGCGGAGGAACACCGAUGGCGAAGGCAGCCUCCUGGGAUAACACUGACGCUCAUGCACGAAAGCGUGGGGAGCAAACAGGAUUAGAUACCCUGGUAGUCCACGCCCUAAACGAUGUCAACUAGCUGUUGGGGCCUUCGGGCCUUGGUAGCGCAGCUAACGCGUGAAGUUGACCGCCUGGGGGGUACGGUCGCAAGAUUAAAACUCAAAUGAAUUGAC
rnacentral:rRNA from 1 species